GUAGGCGGUAGGCCGGUGCCCCGUCAUGCCUGGCCCUGGAUGGCCUUGAUUGGGCAGAGGGACGCCCACGGAAUCAGGUGGUUCUGCGGCGGGGUGUUGAUAAACGACCGAUGGGUCCUCACAGCUCUUCACUGCUUCUUUAGCAACAACGCUGAUGUGGUGCGUCUUGGUGAGCAUGACUACAACGAUGAUUAUGACGAUGCGAAUCCAGAGGAUUUUUCUGUGGCCGAAACGGUGCUCUACCCAAACCACAACCGCCCCGAGGCCUACCAUGACCUUGCACUCCUCAGAUUAGCAUCCAGGGUCACCCUGAAGGUCAGUCUUCCUAGUAAUUGCUAUUUUCCUUUGACGUAGAAUGUUCGGGAGAAAGUAAUCAUCAGAAUAUCAACCAUCU